GACGAACCGUCCAAACGUUAUUCGGAAUUAUUGGGCUUAAAGGGUGCGUAGGCUGUGCAGUAAGUUGGUGUGAAUCCCUCGGCUCAACCGAGGAACUGCGCCGAAUACUGCUGUGCUAGAGGAAGAUAGGGUAAGCGGAACUGAUGGUGGAGCGGUGAAAUGACGUUGAUAUCAUCAGGAACACCGGUGGCGAAGGCGGCUACUGGAUCUUUCUGACGCUGAUGCACGAAGCUAGGGAGC
rnacentral:rRNA from 1 species